rnacentral:rRNA from 1 species
CAAAAAACGCGCCCCAGUUCGGAUUGCAGGCUGCAACUCGCCUGCAUGAAGUCGGAAUCGCUAGUAAUCGGAGAUCAGCUACGCUCCGGUGAAUGUGUUCCUGAGCCUUGUACACACCGCCCGUCACGUCAUGGGAGCCGAGAGUGCCCGAAGUCGCUGCAUUUCAGCAGUGCCCACGGCAAGAUCGGUGACUGGGACGAAGUCGUAACAAGGUAGCCGUAGGAGAACCUGCGGCUGGAUCACCUCCUUU